AGCCCUUCCCAAAUCUUCAGAAACCCUACAUUCAUCGUGGGUUCCAAAUACAAGAUUUUUUGGUGUGUUUCUUCAACAACAAAUCGGAUUUUCUUCUCCAUCUCACUUUCUCUGCCAAUCAAUCUUUGUCACAAACCCUAAAUCUUCAUCAAAUUGGCACAACCCUAAUCAUCUUCAUCUCCUCCACCGUCCGUGUGUGUUUCACUCAGAUUUCUUCAUCGCCAACACGAUUCCGUCUCCAGUGAUGGACUUUUACUCAGAGUUUAUUUACUAUGGCUCGAUCGCUAUGGUUUCCUCCUCGUCAAAUCCUUAAUCAGGCCGUUCAGCCGGGCAACUUUGAUUACAGACUUUCAAACAAGUUGGAUACUAAUUUGCAAAAGCUUAGAUGUAGGGUAAACUACCAUGUGUUAAAAUUCACAGACCCUAUAAUUAAAAUGGGUUAAAAGUUGGUCAACUGAAUGAAGAGGAUGGGCAAGCAGCCAAGCACUAUGUUGCUCUACACAUGAGUGUUUAGGCCAAUCCAAUUUGACUUGCUUCGACCUAUGCUAAAAGUUGCAUGCUUUGAUCCAUUAUCCAACCUACCUGACCCAUCCAUUUGCUACACUGUGUGUAAGACCUCGUGAAGAUUAUGCUGUGACAAAUGUCAUUGACCGGCAACCAGUGAUAAAGCUUGAGAUUUCCGACCGGAUGGGUUGAAAACGUAUAUACCUAAAAAAGUAUAAAUCGGGGGUCGAAAACGUAUAUACCUAAAAUCUUCUAUACGAAAACUA